AUACAGAGGGUGCGAGCGUUAUCGGAUUUACUGGGCGUAAAGCGUGCGUAGCGGCUGAUUAAGUCGGAUGUGAAAUCCCUGAGCUUAACUUAGAAUUGCAUUCGAUACUGGUCAGCUAAGUAUGGGAGAGGAUGGUAAAUUCCAGUGUACGGUGAAAUGCGUAAGAUCUGGAGGAAUACCGAUGGCGAAGGCAGCCAUCUGGCCUAAUACUGACGCUGAGGUACGAAAGCAUGGGGAGCAAACAGGAUUAGAUACCCUGGUAUCCAUGCCGUAAACGAUGUCUACUACCGUUGGGGCCUUUGAGGCUUUAGUGGCGCAGCUAACGCGAUAAGUAGACCGCCUGGGGAGUACGGUCGCAAGACUAAAACUCAAAUGAAUUGACGGGGGCCCGCACAAGCGGUGGAGCAUGUGGUUUAAUUCGAUGCAACGCGAAGAACCUUACCUGGCCUUGACAUACUAGAAACUUUCCAGAGAUGGAUUGGUGCCUUCGGGAAUCUAGAUACAGGUGCUGCAUGGCUGUCGUCAGCUCGUGUCGAUGAGAUGUGGGUUAAAGUCCCGCAAGGAGCGCAAGCCUUUUCCUUCACUUGCCAGCAUUUCGGAUGGGAA
rnacentral:rRNA from 1 species